AUUGAACGCUGGCGGCAGGCCUAACACAUGCAAGUCGAACGGUAGCACAGAGAGCAUGCUCUCGGGUGACGAGUGGCGGACGGGUGAGUAACGUCUGGGAAACCGCCCGAUGGAGGGGGAUAACUACUGGAAACGGUAGCUAAUACCGCAUAACGUCGCAAGACCAAAGUGGGGGACCUUCGGGCCUCACACCCUCGGAUGGGCCCAGAUGGGAUUAGCUAGUAGGUGGGGUAAUGGCUCACCUAGGCGACGAUCCCUAGCUGGUCUGAGAGGAUGACCAGCCACACUGGAACUGAGACACGGUCCAGACUCCUACGGGAGGCAGCAGUGGGGAAUAUUGCACAAUGGGCGCAAGCCUGAUGCAGCCAUGCCGCGUGUAUGAAGAAGGCCUUCGGGUUGUAAAGUACUUUCAGCGGGGAGGAAGGCGGUGAAGUUAAUAACUUCACCGAUUGACGUUACCCGCAGAAGAAGCACCGGCUAACUCCGUGCCAGCCGCCGCGGUAA
rnacentral:rRNA from 1 species